rnacentral:rRNA from 1 species
AACGAACGCUGGCGGCAGGCUUAACACAUGCAAGUCGAACGGUAACAGGUCUUCGGAUGCUGACGAGUGGCGAACGGGUGAGUAAUACAUCGGAACGUGCCCGAUCGUGGGGGAUAACGGAGCGAAAGCUUUGCUAAUACCGCAUACGAUCUACGGAUGAAAGCAGGGGACCGCAAGGCCUUGCGCGGACGGAGCGGCCGAUGGCAGAUUAGGUAGUUGGUGGGAUAAAAGCUUACCAAGCCGACGAUCUGUAGCUGGUCUGAGAGGACGACCAGCCACACUGGGACUGAGACACGGCCCAGACUCCUACGGGAGGCAGCAGUGGGGAAUUUUGGACAAUGGGCGCAAGCCUGAUCCAGCCAUGCCGCGUGCAGGAUGAAGGCCUUCGGGUUGUAAACUGCUUUUGUACGGAACGAAACGGCUCCUUCUAAUAAAGGGGGCUAAUGACGGUACCGUAAGAAUAAGCACCGGCUAACCACGUGCCAGCCGCCGCCCGUAAUAC